rnacentral:rRNA from 1 species
UACGUAGGGUGCGAGCGUUAAUCGGAAUUACUGGGCGUAAAGCGUGCGCAGGCGGUUUGUUAAGUCAGAUGUGAAAGCCCCGGGCUCAACCUGGGAACUGCGUUUGGUACUGGCAAGCUAGAGUACGGCAGAGGGGGGUGGAAUUCCACGUGUAGCAGUGAAAUGCGUAGAGAUGUGGAGGAACACCGAUGGCGAAGGCAGCCCCCUGGGCCGAUACUGACGCUCAGGCACGAAAGCGUGGGGAGCAAACAGG